UGAGUAACCUGCCCUAGGCUUUGGGAUAACCCUCGGAAACGGGGGCUAAUACUGGAUAUUCCCGCGGGAUCGCAUGGUUUUGUGGGGAAAGGUUUUCCGGCUUGGGAUGGGCUCGCGGCCUAUCAGCUUGUUGGUGGGGUGAUGGCCUACCAAGGCGACGACGGGUAGCCGGCCUGAGAGGGCGAUCGGCCACACUGGGACUGAGACACGGCCCAGACUCCUACGGGAGGCAG
rnacentral:rRNA from 1 species